AAUGUAAUGAUAGCAAAAAC
rnacentral:miRNA from 1 species